rnacentral:ncRNA from 2 species
CUCUUAUCCAGAGUGACGGAGGGAUCAGGCCCGAUGAAGUCCGGCAACCUUCAAGCAAUGCUUGAAAAGGUGCCAAUUCCUGCAGACAAUUCAUUGUCUGAAAGAUAAGAG